UUUAGAAACUGGAUCUGUUUCAGUUAAAGCCCAAAUAAACAUGAUUUGCAUGUUUUCAAAUGAACUGUAUGUCAGAGUCCAGCGGCUCAUAAUCAAACAGCUUCAUAUGUGUCUCUCAUAUCAGACUCUCUCAACUCUUGGACUGUCGACUUCAGCUCAUGAAUGUAAUAAGACAAAUAUAUAAGGUUUAUUUCCAAAGCCUGUAGAAAACAAAACUAACAUGUGUCUCUAACAGGACGCUGUCUCUGGGAAUCAUGUCUGGAAAAAAGCAGAAUUUGUUGCUUCUGAUGAUCAUCUGUUGUGCUCUGUGCCAGAUAAGUACAAGAUGCACAUCAGUUGUUGACACUUGCCAAAUCAACUUCAUCACCUCCAGCUCUGGUCUAUCUAAUGGUGCCUGCAAAGUCACUCCAAUCAAAUCCAGUCCAGUCACACUCCAAGGCUCCUCAGAUAAUCUGAUAAUCCAAGUCAAUUCAUCAGAUCAGUGUUUCUGGAACAGCAGUAGCUCAACAGUUCCAGAUAUUAAACGGACAUGUCUAUCAAAAGAUGAAGAGACUAUUACACUAAACAUCUCUUCUCUUGUUUCAGGACAAUGCAAAUUAUACAGUUUCAACAUAACAAAAGAUAAUGCGAAACAGGAAAUCAGAAUGAACGAGACAGUUGAAGGCAUUAAACUGUGGUCAGUGUCAAACGGAUGUAUAAAACAUAUUAACAAUUAUUUCCAAAUCAACUGCAUCCCCUCCAGCUCUUGUAAAUUCAGUGAUGUCUACCUAUCCAAUGACAAUCAAAUCACAUCCACAGGCUCCUCAGAUAAUCUGAUAAUCCAAGUCAAUUCAUCAGAUCAUUGUUUCUGGAACAGAAGUAGCUCAACAGCUCCAGAUAUAAAAUGGACAUGUCUAUCAGAUGAUGAAGAGACUAUUACACUAAACAUCUCUUCUCUUGGAUGCAUAAAAAAUACUACCACUUAUCACCAAAGUAGCUGCAUUAACUCCAGUUCUGGUAUUUUCAGUGAUGUCUACCUAUCCAAUGACAAUCCUAUCACAUACACAGGUUGUGGGUACAGCAAGUCUGAAGAGAAAUGUACAAAUUUGGUAUAUAACCAAGAUAUAUGUAGAGAGAAUGAAGGAAGCAAAUACAUUCUGAAAUAUAAUCAAAAUAAUGAAUGGACAUGUGUGACCUGCUUUGAUGGAAGUUCAACCACCAUUACACCACCAUCACACACCACAACUACACACAAUCCAACUACAAGUUUCACACCACACAAUACAAUUCAAAAUCCCAGUACCAGAUUGACAUCACAAACAACCACUCAAAAGCCCACUACAAAUUUCACAUCACAAAGUACAACUCCUGGAUAUACUGAUCCCGCAAAAGCAUCUGAAGCCUUGGACAAGCUGGGGUCUAAGUUGGAAGAGAUGGAAAAAAACAAUACAAGCAAUGCAGCGAUUGUCAUGGGAGAUGUUAUUGGUCUUGUUCACGUUCAAGCCAAGAACACAGAAACCAAAGAGAUCAACAUAUGCUACUCUUCAGAUCAAGCUAUGGUAAAACUUAGAAAUCAGAAUCAGAAUGAGCUUUAUUACCAGGUAUGUUCACACAUACAAGGAAUUUGUUUUCGUGAUAGAAGCUCAGCAGUGCAACAGAAUGACAGCGACAGAACAAAAAACACAUAAUAAAUGAAUAAAAUAUAGUAGACAUACAAAUAAGUAGGUAAGGAAUGACAAUAUACAAAUUGACAAUUGUAUGGCAGGUAUAUAAGCAGGUAUGUAUGUACAGGCAUCUUAUGUGCAAAUUUUAAGUGUAAAUAUAAAUAGUGUAGUGUGUUCCACAGU
ensembl:lncRNA